AUUGAACGCUGGCGGCAGGCUUAACACAUGCAAGUCGAACGGAGUGGCGGACGGGUGAGUAAUGCCUAGGAAUCUGCCUGGUAGCGGGGGAUAACGUCCGGAAACGGGCGCUAAUACCGCAUAAUAUCCGAUGAGCCUAGGUCGGAUUAGCUAGUUGGUGGGGUAAAGGCCUACCAAGGCAACGAUCCGUAACUGGUCUGAGAGGACGAUCAGCCACACUGGAACUGAGACACGGUCCAGACUCCUACGGUAGGCAGCAGUGGGGAAGUUUGGACAAUGGGGGAAAGCCUGAUCCAGCCAUGCCGCGUGUGUGAAGAAGGUCUUCGGAUUGUAAAGCACUUUAAGUUGGGAGGCGUUACCUACAGAAUAAGCACCGGCUAACUUCGUGCCAGCAGCCGCGGUAAUAC
rnacentral:rRNA from 1 species